rfam:Arabis alpina cultivar Pajares scaff_54312_1_contig_1, whole genome shotgun sequence.
GAUCCCAUCAGAACUCCGCAGUGAAGCAUGCUUGGGCGAGAGUAGUACUAGGAUGGGUGAGUUCCUGGGAAGUCCUAGUGUUGCACCCU